AUUGAACGCUGGCGGCAGGCCUAACACAUGCAAGUCGAGCGAGCGGCGGACGGGUGAGUCAUGUCUGGGAAACUGCCUGAUGGCGGGGGCUAACUACUGGAACCGGUAGCUAAUACCGCAUACCAUCAGAUGUGCCCAGAUGGGAUUGGCUAGUAGGUUGGGUAACGGCUCACCUAGGCGACGAUCCCUGGCUGUGCUUAGAGGAUGACCAGCCACACUGGAACGUGGACACGGUCCAGACUCCUACGGGAGGCAGCAGUGGGGAAUAUUGCACAAUGGGCGCAAGCCGGAGGCAGCCAUGCCGCGUGUGUGAAGAAGGCCUUCGGGUUGUAAAGCACUUUCAGCGGGGAGGCGUUACCCGCAGAAGAAGCACCGGCUAACUCCGUGCCAGCAGCCGCGGUAAUUC
rnacentral:rRNA from 1 species